rnacentral:rRNA from 1 species
CUACGGGAUGCACCAGUGAGGAAUUUUGCGCAAUGGGGGAAACCCUGACGCAGCAACGCCGCGUGAGUGAUGAAGGCCUUCGGGUCGUAAAGCUCUGUCAAGUGGGAAGAACCCACCCUGUGCUAAUAUCACAGGGUGCUGACGGUACCACUGAAGGAAGCACCGGCUAACUCCGUGCCAGCAGCCGCGGUAAUACGGAGGGUGCAAGCGUUAUUCGGAAUUACUGGGCGUAAAGGGCGCGUAGGCGGCCUUUUAAGUCAGAUGUGAAAUCCCGGGGCUCAACCCCGGAAGUGCAUCUGAAACUAAGAGGCUUGAGUAUGGGAGAGGGAAGUGGAAUUCCUGGUGUAGAGGUGAAAUUCGUAGAUGUCAGGAGGAACACCGGUGGCGAAGGCGACUUCCUGGACCAAUACUGACGCUGAGGCGCGAAGGCGUGGGGAGCAAACAGGAUUAGAUACCCAGGUAGUC